GUGCUCGCUUUGGCAGCACAUGUACUAAAAUUGGAACACAGAGAAGAUUAGCAUGGCCCCUGUGCAAGGAUGACACGCAAAUUCGUGAAGCAUUCCAUAUUUUU
rnacentral:snRNA from 1 species